CCUAGUAAAAAAGCUAGAAUAACAACAUAAGACCAGAAGACCCUGUGAAGCUUAAAUAAAACUAUUAAACCAUAUAAUAACUACUUUCGGUUGGGGCGACCUUGGAAAAAAAGAGAACUUCCAAAUAAAAUGACUAUACCUCAUUAACCUAAACAGGCUAACAAGCCAAAAAUGACCCAGCACAGCUGAUAAUUGAACCAAGUUACUCCAGGGAUAACAGCGCAAUCUUCUUCAAGAGCCCAUAUCAAAAAGAAGGUUUACGACCUCGAUGUUGGAUCAGGACAUCCUAAUGGUGCAGCCGCUAUUAAGGGUUCGUUUGUUCAACGAUUAAUA
rnacentral:rRNA from 1 species